GAUGUACAGCAGCUAAAGAAGCGACUGUAAAACAUACUCUGCUUUCUGCAUAAAUAAAAAAGAGCUGUUUUCUCCCAUCAAAAAUUACAUUUCAUCUGACUACUCACAGAGAAAGCCUCUGACAGCUGUACCUGUGGAACAUCUUGAAGAGGUUUCAGUUUCAAACGUCAAAAAACAGGAAAUAAACAGUGCCCAGAAGAAAGGAUGAUUUCUCACAACAUGACGUGGAUCAGCUACCCAAGCAAGAACUUUGCUUUCAUCUCCCCAGAAGAAAUUGAAGCAUUCAUAGCAUCUCAAAACAUCAUA